UGUAAGCGUAUACCAAAGUUGUUGCAGUUAAAACGCUCGUAGUCGGAAUUUGGCAGUUCCGGAUGUGUGCACGUCGUGUGCGCACUUCGCGGGGAUUGCUUUUGUGGUCUUGCGUAGGAUGAGGCACUUUUAUUAGUGAACGUCCUCACGCAACCACUUUUUACUGUGAGAAAAUCAGAGUGCUCAAAGCAGGCAUUUGCCGUGAAUGUAUUAGCAUGGAAUAUUAGAAUAGGACUUGGUUCUAUUUUGUUGGUUUGUUGGGACUGAGUAAUGAUUAAGAGGGACAGUUGGGGGCAUUUGUAUUUCGGUGCUAGAGGUGAAAUUCUUAGAUUACCGAAAGACAAACUGCUGCGAAAGCGUCUGCCAAGGAUGUUUUCAUUGA
rnacentral:rRNA from 1 species